rnacentral:rRNA from 1 species
AGCGAACGCUGGCGGCAGGCCUAACACAUGCAAGUCGAACGAACCUUUCGGGGUUAGUGGCGGACGGGUGAGUAACACGUGGGAACGUGCCUUUAGGUUCGGAAUAACUCAGGGAAACUUGUGCUAAUACCGAAUGUGCCCUUCGGGGGAAAGAUUUAUCGCCUUUAGAGCGGCCCGCGUCUGAUUAGCUAGUUGGUUGAGGUAAUGGCUCACCAAGGCGACGAUCAGUAGCUGGUCUGAGAGGAUGAUCAGCCACAUUGGGACUGAGACACGGCCCAAACUCCUACGGGAGGCAGCAGUGGGGAAUCUUGCGCAAUGGGCGAAAGGCUGACGCAGCCAUGCCGCGUGAAUGAUGAAGGUCUUAGGAGUGUAAAAUUCUUUCACCGGGGACGAUAAUGACGGUACCCGGAGAAGAAGCCCCGGCUAACUUCGUG